rnacentral:tRNA from 1 species
GGUCGAUUAGCUCAUUUGGAUAGAGCGCUUCCCUCCGGAGGAAGAGGUGGUGAGUUCGAAUCUCGCAUCGAUCA